rnacentral:rRNA from 1 species
CCUACGGGGGGCUGCAGUGGGGAAUAUUGCACAAUGGGCGCAAGCCUGAUGCAGCCAUGCCGCGUGUGUGAAGAAGGCCUUCGGGUUGUAAAGCACUUUCAGCGGGGAGGAAGGCGUUAAGGUUAAUAACCUUGGCGAUUGACGUUACCCGCAGAAGAAGCACCGGCUAACUCCGUGCCAGCAGCCGCGGUAAUACGGAGGGUGCAAGCGUUAAUCGGAAUUACUGGGCGUAAAGCGCACGCAGGCGGUCUGUCAAGUCGGAUGUGAAAUCCCCGGGCUCAACCUGGGAACUACAUUCGAAACUGGCAGGCUAGAGUCUUGUAGAGGGGGGUAGAAUUCCAGGUGUAGCGGUGAAAUGCGUAGAGAUCUGGAGGAAUACCGGUGGCGAAGGCGGCCCCCUGGACAAAGACUGACGCUCAGGUGCGAAAGCGUGGGGAGCAAACAGGAUUAGAUACCCUAGUAGUC